rnacentral:rRNA from 1 species
GAUGAACGCUGGCGGCGUGCUUAACACAUGCAAGUCGAGCGAAGCACUUAUGAUGAUUCUUCGGAUGAAUCAUUUGUGACUGAGCGGCGGACGGGUGAGUAACGCGUGAGUAACCUGCCUCAUACAGGGGAAUAACAGUUAGAAAUGACUGCUAAUGCCGCAUAGGCGCACAGGGCCGCAUGGCCCGGUGUGAAAAACUCCGGUGGUAUGAGAUGGACUCGCGUCUGAUUAGCUAGUUGGCAGGGUAACGGCCUACCAAGGCGACGAUCAGUAGCCGGCCUGAGAGGGUGAACGGCCACAUUGGGACUGAGACACGGCCCAAACUCCUACGGGAGGCAGCAGUGGGGAAUAUUGCACAAUGGGGGAAACCCUGAUGCAGCGACGCCGCGUGAGUGAAGAAGUAUUUCGGUAUGUAAAGCUCUAUCAGCAGGGAAGAAAAUGACGGUACCUGACUAAGAAGCCCCGGCUAACUACGUGCCAGCCGCCGCAGUAACAC